rnacentral:rRNA from 1 species
CGGAUUGUAGUCUGCAACUCGACUACAUGAAGCUGGAAUCGCUAGUAAUCGCGAAUCAGAAUGUCGCGGUGAAUACGUUCCCGGGUCUUGUACACACCGCCCGUCACACCAUGGGAGUUGGUAACGCCCGAAGUCAGUGACCCAACCUUAGGGAGGGAGCUGCCGAAGGCGGGACUGAUAACUGGGGUGAAGUCGUAACAAGGUAAC